rnacentral:rRNA from 1 species
AAUCAACGCUGGCGGCGUGCCUCAGACAUGCAAGUCGAACGCGAAAGUCCCCUUCGGGGGACAAGUAGAGUGGCGCACGGGUGAGUAACACGUAGGUAAUCUACCUUCGGAUGGGGAAUAACAACCGGAAACGGUUGCUAAUACCGCAUAAUGCAGCGGCACCUAAUGGUGACAGUUGUUAAAGACGGGGGAGUCGAAAGACCUCGCGUCUGAAGAGGAGCCUGCGGCGGAUUAGCUAGUGGUAAGGUAAUGGCUUACCAAGGCGACGAUCCGUAGCCGGCCUGAGAGGGCGGUCGGCCACACUGACACUGACAUACGGGUCAGACUCCUACGGGAGGCAGCAGUCGGG